rnacentral:rRNA from 1 species
UACGUAGGGUGCAAGCGUUGUCCGGAAUUAUUGGGCGUAAAGAGCUCGUAGGCGGUCUGUCACGUCUGCUGUGAAAGCCCGGGGCUUAACCCCGGGUCUGCAUUCGAUACGGGCAGACUAGAGUGUGGUAGGGGAGAUCGGAAUUCCUGGUGUAGCGGUGAAAUGCGCAGAUAUCAGGAGGAACACCGGUGGCGAAGGCGGAUCUCUGGGCCAUUACUGACGCUGAGGAGCGAAAGCGUGGGGAGCGAACAGG